GAACGCUGGCGGCAGGCUUAACACAUGCAAGUCGAGCGCCCUGCUUGCAGGGAGCGGCAGACGGGUGAGUAACGCGUGGGAAUCUACCCAGUUCUACGGAACAACAGUUGGAAACGACUGCUAAUACCGUAUACGCCCUACGGGGGAAAGAUUUAUCGGAAUUGGAUGAGCCCGCGUAAGAUUAGCUAGUUGGUGGGGUAAUGGCCUACCAAGGCGACGAUCUAUAGCUGGUCUGAGAGGAUGAUCAGCCACACUGGAACUGAGACACGGUCCAGACUCCUACGGGAGGCAGCAGUGGGGAAUAUUGGACAAUGGGGGCAACCCUGAUCCAGCCAUGCCGCGUGAGUGAUGAAGGCCCUAGGGUUGUAAAGCUCUUUCAGCGAGGAGGAUAAUGACGUUACUCGCAGAAGAAGCCCCGGCUAACUUCGUGCCAGCAGCCGCGGUAAUACGAAGGGAGCAAGCGUUGUUCGGAAUUACUGGGCGUAAAGCGUACGUAGGCGGAUCAGAAAGUAGGGGGUGAAAUCCCGAGGCUCAACCUCGGAACUGCCUCCUAAACUCCUGGUCUUGAGUUCGAGAGAGGUGAGUGGAAUUCCAAGUGUAGAGGUGAAAUUCUUAGAUAUU
rnacentral:rRNA from 11 species